GAUGAACGCUGGCGGCGUGCCUAAUACAUGCAAGUCGAGCGAACAGACGAGGAGCUUGCUCCUCUGACGUUAGCGGCGGACGGGUGAGUAACACGUGGAUAACCUACCUAUAAGACUGGGAUAACUUCGGGAAACCGGAGCUAAUACCGGAUAAUAUAUUGAACCGCAUGGUUCAAUAGUGAAAGACGGUUUUGCUGUCACUUAUAGAUGGAUCCGCGCCGCAUUAGCUAGUUGGUAAGGUAACGGCUUACCAAGGCAACGAUGCGUAGCCGACCUGAGAGGGUGAUCGGCCACACUGGAACUGAGACACGGUCCAGACUCCUACGGGAGGCAGCAGUAGGGAAUCUUCCGCAAUGGGCGAAAGCAUGACGGAGCAACGCCGCGUGAGUGAUGAAGGUCUUCGGAUCGUAAAACUCUGUUAUUAGGGAAGUACAAAUGUGUAAGUAACUAUGCACGUCUUGACGGUACCUAAUCAGAAAGCCACGGCUAACUACGUG
rnacentral:rRNA from 1 species